GCCGCAGCGGCGGUUAAACCCAAGGCGAAGGGGAAGAAGGUUACCGCCGCAGCAGCUGCGAAGAAAUCGGCGGCGGUUAAGCCCAAGCCGAAGGCGAAGGCAACUGUUGCGCCCAAGAGGAAGGCUGUUGCUGCUGCUGCGAAGCCCAAGGCUAAGGCGGCUAAAACAUCGACGGUGACAUCUCCAGGGAAAAAGGCUGCUGCUGCUAAGAAGAAGGCUACUAAGGUGGCGACGAAGAAGAAGACUCCAGUGAAGAAGGCUGUGAAGCCGAAGACGGUGAAGUCUCCAGCGAAGAGGGCUUCGAAGAGGGGUGUGAAGUGAAUCUAGGGUUUUUUAGUGGUACAUGGUUGUAGCUUUCUCUAUCUUGUAGGUGGGUAGUGUUUGUAUAAUUCCAUCUUUUUUUCUUGUUUUUGCUGUGAUGUUCUUGUAAUCCAUGGUUACUUGGACCAUCCUUUAAAUCAUAUAUAAAAUAGCUAAGUCCCUUUCAAAGCUUUGUUUCAUUUCAUCAUUGGUACGAGAAUCAAACUCGACUAUCUUGAAGCUACUUUUUGAUGUUGUUUAGCAAUUAGCAUCACAGAGAAUUUAGCUCAGCCAUUGCUAUGAGAGUAUGAACUUGCGGCUUUCUGGAUUGGUCUAGGAUCUUGGCUUAAGUGCAGUAGAGCAUAGCAUUGUCAACUAGGUUGCAUUAUCUAGGAAACGCAUAUCACAGGACUCUCUAACUAGUUCUAUUCCAUACGGUUUUCUGCUACCUCCAUCCUCAUGCUGCUGUUGUCUUUUACCAAUCCGUUCCCAGUAGUUCUCUGUGAUAAUCCCAUUUUCUCUAACCUUGUAUCCAGCUUUCAUUCUGUAAUGGUGACGGUGCACGUUCGUAGCGAUUGUUGUUGUCUGCACCACAAAAGGUAUACCCAUGAGAAUGUCCCCAUCCAUUACCACAUCCCUUCCUUCGUUCAAAGCCAGUCACUAGCAGCGGUGAAGCUCCAUCUAUUUCGGUUUCCUGCCGCUAGAUUGCCGAAUCUGGCUUCCUUACCAGUUACCACCAUUUAACUCCAGUCACACGUUACUAAAAAUAGCUGAGAUCGAUUACUCCCAAUCACAUUAAUCUUUUAGAGAUGUUGGUGGGGUUUCAUCCCUUCAACAUUUUCUAGUUAUUAACUCUUUCUGGAUGAAAUUAUGUAGUUUUUGUGAAAAAAAUAUCUUAAAAUAGAAAUAAAACUCUUGAACAACAUUGUUUUCUGUUCGUCUGAUUUCCUGAAUAUGUAACAUUCAAAUUCCUACAAAAUACCGACCAACAGUGUCAUUUUAACAGACGUUACACAAUAACAGAAGACAAACAUCAAAAAAAUAUACCAAACUUCUCUUUUUAUGAUGAACUAUUAUCCUCUUACUGUUGUAAGAAGAUCAACUUCACUUUCAUAUCUCCUUCCCACACAAAAAUAGCCAAACAAUCAAUUACCCAAUAUUUCUUCAUCCAGUCAGCUGAAAAGGUUCUCCACUUCUAAGUUUCCCCGCGAAUCUUGUGAGCGAUCAAUGUUUCAAAUGCAUCAAGACGAAGCCUUUACACAACACCUCCCAACUUCAAGCUCUGGAAGCAACUCAGAAACCACUUUUUCCAUUGAGAUGAUUUCUAUCUGCUGCUUGUUACUUCCUUCCUUUCUCAUCCCUUUUGAAAGAAGAUUGACUUUAGGAGUUUCCGGGUUUUCGGCGAGUAGUUCUUUUAACAAGCUUUCUUCAUCGUUGAGUUUCGACGCCUUUAUGAGAUCCACCACGUGAUGCCUUUUUGCAACGUUUCUACCUGCUCCACACCCCAUUGCAGUUGCUGCUCCAACCGCGUUUGCAAUCGUCAAGGUGUUAACAAGCGGCAUGUUGCGUAUAUAUCCCAAUGCAAUCGCAGCCACAAAACUAUCUCCACAUCCAACAGUAUCAACCACCUCCACCUGAUCAUAUGAUUGUUUUGCAAAAGAAAGAUUAAGAACAUUACAUAAACUUACUCUAUGACUAUGAUACAUAUAAACUGGGAAAACGAUCUAUUUCCCCCUCAUAACUAUCAUAUAGCACCAUAUUUCCACCAAAAUAUGACCUAGUGCUAUAUAUCCUCGAAUUUAAAGUUAUAAACGUAUUUCUACUUGAAAUGAAAAUUGUAAACUUAUUUAUCCCUAAAUCAAUGGUUCUAAAUUUAAUUGCACAUAAACCAUGAUUUUAGUUGGUUGAUUGUUAACCAAAUCAUUUUUAACCAGCUAAACCAAUAUAAAAUCAAAUUUUAAAUAAACCCCUACCCGUAAAUAAUCCAACCCAGUUUCUUUCUUUUUCUUCACCCGACUCGUUUUUUAUCUUCUUCUUUCUUCUUCUUCAUCGAAUUACCAAGAGCAAUAAAAGACAGUCAAAUAUAUCAAACGUAUCUAUGUCAAAGUCAGUAUCGAUUGCCCAAUCCCUUAAUCAUUCUGUGAUUGCGCUCAAUAAUUCAUGUAACUCUCUGUAUAAUAUAUAUAUAUCAAAGUCAAAGUUUCAACUACUUUCUCUUCUCCAUUGAUCUCAAUCCUCCAAUCCACGAUCAAAUUGAAACUUUUGGUCACUCUUUUCUUUUUUUUCUUGAAAUAAUCUGAGGAAAUGGGCGGAAAAGUUACUUCAGACUUCGCCGGAGUCUGAGAUCGAUGUAACAAAUAAAGCUCACGAAUUUUAGAUUUAUAUGUUGAAAUCUGAACAUUUUUUUACGGUUACUUCUAGUUGCUGAUUGACAAAUUCAGCAGGUUGAUGAAGAAGACGAAUUAGAAAAGAAACAAAUAAUGUGAGUCCAGUGAAGAAUAAUAAGAAAGAAACCGGGUCUGAGUGGGUCGGAUUUUUAUUUUUUUUGGUCUAAGUCGGGUUUUUAUUUUAAAUUUAAUUUUUGUGUUUGUUUAGCUGGUUAAAAAUGAUUUGGUUAACAAUAAACCAACUAAAAUCAUGAUUUAUGUGCAAUUAAAUUUAGAACCAUUGAUUUAGGGAUAAAUACGUUUACAUUUUUCAAUUCAAAGAGAAAUACGUUUAUAACUUUAAAUUCGGGGAGAUCUAGCACUAUGUCAUAGUUCGGUGGAGAUAUGGUGCUAUAUGAUAGUUAUGAGGGGGAAAUAGAUCGUUUUCCCAAAAAUAAUUGCUAAAUUCCACACUUUUGUAGUCAAUAGCAAAACUAUACAAAUUAUAUACUUAUGAUACUCCAAUUGUAAACCAAAUGUAUUGGGGACAAUGUCUACACACAGAACUUAUUUUUUUGUCAAAGUAUCUAGAUAACCUAAAUCCAAUUUAUUAUAAUAGCUCCAAUGUACUAGCUGACGCAAAUAACUCUGUCCUAGAAUGUCAGAAGUAAAAAUUGCACGUCCACCACUUUUCAAAUUUCAAAUUCCAAAUGUACAUGAGUCUAAUAAACUCAGAUACUCUCAGGCAUAUCAAAUUAUUUGGAUUGAUUUGCAACUUUUUUUCUUACUGAUACUUUUUUGGAACUAAAACAGAAAACACAUAGAAACAUAAUGCUUUUUUUUUUUUUUGGUAGGAUGGGAGAUUAAACUCUCUCAUUAAACUCUCCCACCUAACUCUCUCCCUCCUGUGCGCGUGCUGUUCUGCUCCGACGUACGGCUAGCGCGUGAGCGCUUCCGCCGGCGUCGGAGGCUUCCUUCCUCCCUCAUCUCCGUUUUUCUUUUGCUUAUGGGUGGACUCGAGGGCUUCUUGGACGUUGUAGCGGCCACAAAUCCGGAAUGGGCGACUUUGUUGAGGACCAUGCGACAACAAAAUCCUAUCCCAGGCCAGUCACCGACCGACGACUCACAUGCCGAGGCGGAUGUUCAGGCGAGGAGUGAUGAAUUCUACGAGGCGAUUAACGACCACCCUUAGUUCUUUUUAAUUUCGGUUCUUGUAUUAUGAAUUCAAAACUUAUUUAUAUAUAAAAUAUUUUGGUUUUGAUUUUUUUAGAAUUUUAAUUUUAUUAAUAAUUUAAAUAAUUUAAAUUAUUUUUUUAAUUAUAAUUUUUUAUAUUUCUGUAAAAUAACGAAACGAAGUAAAUUCGUAGCUAAUGUUGCGACUUCUUUACGUGGAAGCUUAACGUGGUUUUUACGAGGAAUUGUUUACAAGGAAAUAACGUGGAAAGUGCACGUGGUCUUUACGAGGAAAGCUAUCAAGGUAUUUACGUUUACUUUACGAGUAUUUAUUUACGUGGGUUUUACGAGGAAAGUCUUUCGUGGUAUUUACGAGGAAACUUAGCGACGUCCUUACGUGGAAGCUUUACGUGGUCUUUACGAUGAAAUAUUCCUCUUCGCUUUUACGACGAAAUUAUUUCCUCGCUAUGUUACGACGAAUUAGCGAGGAUAUAUGCGUUACGACAAACGUAUAACGACGAAACGGGUUUCCUCGCUAAUUUCUCGUAACACUGCUUUUACGACGAAGUCACGAGAAAAACUGCCCUCGUAAAACUUGUGUUUUCUUGUAGUGAUUCAAGUCUAGGACCUGGCGGUGGUUCACGUGGAACCGUGCUUUUGUUCUUGCGCACACUUGACAUAGCGAAGUCUGCGAUUCUAUCUAGUAUUGGAGGAAAUUGUAGUGGGUGGUGGAGGAAGUGGUGGAAUAAUUCAUUUUCAUUGGUCAGACAUUCCAACUGGAGAUGUCUAUCAUCACAUUGUCAAUGUAAAGGGAAGAGUUUAUGUAAGGUUUGUUAAAAGAAGUUCAUACACUACAAACUGUGUCGGGAACCUUUUUGAUACACGACUUAGUCUUUGGUUCAAACAUAAUAUCUGAUUCUACCAUAAAUUACCUCUGUUCGGGAACACGCUAGGCGCUAGUCAGGCAGUCGGGUUGGACCUAGCACCUAAAAAGAAAAUCGGGUAUUAAUCGAAAAUUAUGCGAGUCGGAAAUUUUAGAUUGUUUAGUAUGUUAUAAAACAUGUUAUUUUUUAAUUGUGUAUAACAUUAAUACAUUUUCAUGUUUAAGAUUGUAUAAAACACACAAAUAAAAUAUAUAAACUUAAUAUAGUGUAAUUUCAUCAAAACUAUGAAUAUUGAUGAUAUUUAUAAAAUUUAAGAUCAAAUAAAUAAAUAAAAGUAUUUUUAAAAAUAAAAUAAAAAUAAAUAAAAAAUAAUAAUAAAAAAUAGAUUAGGCGGCUAGACGGUCAUUUAGGCGGUCUAGGCGGAGAAAAUCGGAUAUCCGAUUUUUUUAACCGAUUUGGCAUAAAUCGGGGCAUCUAGGCGGCCAAUUUUUAUAAUUUUCUAAUCAUAUUAUGAUUUUUUUUAAUAUUUAUAAAUUUUAGAAAUAUCAUUUAAUUUUAUGUUUUGUUAAUUAUACAUAACAAUAUACUCCUUGACGCCACCACUAUCUCCGAGUGCCUUCACACUUGUUAGUUCCUCUUUUUAACCCACAAAGGCUUCAAGAUUCACUGCCAUGGUUUUAAUUUUCUUUGAAGUUGAAGAUUGUAUGUGUCAAUUUCAUAUUAGUUAUUUGCUUGGUUAGGUUACUUGUUUUAUUUAGCUGCAUAACUGUUGUUUAACAUAUCAGCUGAGAAUAAUAUUUGCUAAUUUACAUUUCUAAUUGCUAUCUACUGGAGACUGGGAUGAGUUUACUCUUCCUAUGCAGUUUGUAGGAAAUGCAUCUAUGAGAAAAUCACAGAAGACGAGAUAGAGUGCUGUCCAGUUUGCAAUAUCGACCUUGGUGGCACCCCAUUGGACAAGCUUAGGUGAGCAAAUAAUCUUGUCCUGUACAGAUGUGAGCUUUGUAGUUAAACUUUAAGUGUGUGUGUGUGUGUGUGUUGAUGAGCUACUUUUAUGCAGGCCUGACCACAAUUUACAAGACCUGAGAGCCAAAAUCUUUCCUCUAAAAGGAAGAAAAGUGAAAGCUCGAGAGCCAGCAAGAAAGAAGGAGAAAUCUAUGUCUUAUUUGGUUGAUGUAACCAAAACCAAGGCGUCAGACCAAGCUGGAAGAAGAAGAACUAAAACGGUCACGAGAAAAGAGUUAUUACAAGACAGUGCUUCAUUGGCCGAGAAGGAAGAAGAAUCUCUUCUUAAGGGUCAUCUUCUGGAGAGCACAAGCUCACCCAACAAAUUCACUCAGAAUAAAAAGGAUAGUGAUGAGCCUUGGGAUCCCGAAUCUUAUUGGAAACCUUUGAAUUUUCUGGUCGAAGUGGCGAACAGGACACAGACCUUGAAGUCUUCUUCUGCUUCUCAAGGGCCAGGUUCGAAAUCUGAGAAGGCUAAUGCAUCAUCUCACAAACAAAUUCAACCCAGAGUUAAGGACCACAAGAGCAGAUAUAAACGUGAGUAUGAAAAGAGUGCAAAACGGGAGAUGAGGGAUGGUCCUGUUUGGUUCUCGCUUGUGGCGUCCACUGAUCAGUGAGAUUCAUCCUCCCAUAUCUAAACUUUUUCUUUCUCUUCUUCUUAUGUUGUCUAUAUCAUGUUGGUAUGUUGACAAGGCUUUGAUGAUUUCAGGAAGGAAAAACAUAUUUGCCUAAAAUUCCAGCAAUUUUUUUGAAAAUAAGGUAGGUUUUGUGGUUCUUUUUAUCAAAUAGAUAGUAUUAUUUGUUUCGCUCGUUCUGUGACAGGGAUGGAGAUAUUCCAGUUUCUUUUAUCCAAAAGUACCUAAUGAGGAAACUAAAUCUCCAGAGUGAAACUGAGGUAAGCAUCUCUCUAUUUACACUAUUGAGGAAUAUAACGUUUGAAUGUAAAGGAAGCUGGCUAAUGUGUAUUGUCAGUUAUUUUUUUAGAGCUAACCGCAAGUAUGGCAGUUGAUGUUUGGUUGAUCAUGUAUAGAUAUUUAAUGGUUUUUGUACAGGUAGAGAUCAGAUGUAUGGGAGAAGCAGUGAUUCCCGCGCUGAAGCUUCAGAAACUGGUAGACCUAUGGUUGCAUAGAGGUUCGAAGCGCCAAAAGAUUGAUGCAUGGAUUGGUUCUUCUGCGCAAAGGAUUACAUGAUGGUGCUUGCCUAUGGUCGAAAGCUUCCGGAAUGCAAUAAGAAGAAGAUUAUGUGGAGACAGAGUAGUCUUUGUUUUUCCUCCCUGUAGAAUCUCUGUAAGCAUUACAAGGAAGAACAUUAUUUGAACUGUAGGAGCAAUCGACUGUGUUGUGAAAGUUUCUUUAGCAACUCUUGUUAUGACGAUCAAACAAUGUAGCAGUAGAUGGUUAAUAUAGAAUAUAUGCAUAUGAUGCUUCGCAAAUAAUGUUUUUGUACUGAUCUCUGCCUAAGAAAGCAGAGAGCCAAAUCAAUGAUAUACUAAUAUUGCGAUCUUGUGUUACUGAUUCGAUCUCGGUGCUCCAUUCCUAUGUGUAUAUCAUAUACUAUGUGAUUAUAAUGAUGUAAAAAGAUGUUGUAUACUAAUAAUAGACGUCUGUGGGAUGCCCAAUUCACACACUUAGGAUAUCUAAAAUGGUUACUGUACAUAAGAUAAGAAACCUAUUUGCAUCAUUACUUUAGUGAAACUAUACACAAAUGUUUAUGUUGACUAAAAUGAGUUGAUCACAUGGUUAAAAGUAGAUCACAAUAUAUGAAACGAUUCGACCCUCUGACUGUGUGUUAACAAAAGUCUAACACACAUAUCAACAAGCGGUGUACAACAUAUUCUAGAAGAUGGUCAUCUUGAUUAGCAACAGAUCAAAUGUUUUUGCAUCGAAGAGUAAUCGAAUUUUCAGGAUUCAUGGUUGGACUCACUCCUUGGUUUGUCUGGUUUCAGAUAAACAUACUUUUUAUACGAACUUCUCUUUAACAAUAUUCGAAAAACCCAAUGUAUUGCAACACAAUCAAGAAAAAACAAUACUAAUGACACAUUUCUCUUUAAAUCCGAUUUUCUCACUACAGAAUAAUCAUUUCGACACAAUUAGAUAAUCAAAAGAAACCUUACAGAUUGUUCUACGCAAUGAAAAAAACAAAAACGAAUUUCAUCAAGUAUAUCAAUAGUUACGAUCAAAUCAAUCGAGGCUAGAAACACAGCAAACAUGCCUAAAGCAUCUAAAAUCCACAUCCACUGACAUCGAAAGUCAUCCAUUCUGCGCCGUUGAUAAACAAAGAUCCAACGGUUACCAUUCAAACUAUGUAAAAAGAGUAGCGAUCCGCGUAGUCAUUAUUUUAACCAAUCAGAAGAGAGUAUGACAUUGCCGUCUAACACACAUCUAACUAUAUAAAUCGAACCGUUUCAGAUGAAAUGAUCACAUCCACCAUUCUCAUUAUAACUUCUCCAAAGCUUACAUUUACGGUUACUAGCAACUUUCCGAUGACAAGUCCAGCGGUUGAUCAAGAGAACAUCCCUCCUAUGGACGUAACCAACACGACGGCGACGGAGCCUGCUGCGAAGGGAGGCAAGACGAAGAAAGCCAAGGAAGUGAAGGCGAAGGCGAAGAAGAAGCCUACUGCUGCUGCAGCUGCGAAGAAGAAGUCCGUUUCGACUCAUCCUACUUACGAAGAGGUAACGAGACUCAGAUCUAGCUUUGUAGCGCUAAUCGAUUCUGAUUCGUGAAUUUUAGAUACUGAGAUUGAUUUUGAUUUUUGUUUUCGAUUUCAGAUGAUCAAGGACGCGAUUGUAUCGCUGAAGGAGAGAACUGGAUCUAGCCAAUACGCGAUUCAGAAGUUCAUCGAGGAGAAGCACAAGGUGCUUUCGCCUUCGUUCAGGAAGCUUCUGCUUCUCAAUCUGAAGAGGCUCGUUGCUUCCGAGAAGCUCGUGAAGGUUAAAGCCUCGUUUAAGAUUCCGUCUGCUAAGCCGUCGUCAUCUCCCAAGGCGGUUACGGAGAAGAAGAAACCUGCUGCCGCAGCGGCGGUUAAACCCAAGGCGAAGGGGAAGAAGGUUACCGCCGCAGCAGCUGCGAAGAAAUCGGCGGCGGUUAAGCCCAAGCCGAAGGCGAAGGCAACUGUUGCGCCCAAGAGGAAGGCUGUUGCUGCUGCUGCGAAGCCCAAGGCUA
rnacentral:lncRNA from 1 species